rnacentral:rRNA from 1 species
AAUCAACGCUGGCGGCGUGCCUCAGACAUGCAAGUCGAACGAUUAAAGCUCCCUUCGGGGAGUGCAUAAAGUGGCGCACGGGUGAGUAACACGUAAGUAAUCUAUCCUCGAGUGGGGAAUAACGUCCGGAAACGGACGCUAAUACCGCAUAAUGCAGCGGCACCGCAAGGUGACAGUUGUUAAAGAUUUAUCGCUUGAGGAGGAGCUUGCGGCAGAUUAGCUAGUUGGUAAGGUAAUGGCUUACCAAGGCCGCGAUCUGUAACCGGUCUAAGAGGACGGUCGGUCACACUUACACUGAAUAACGGGUCAGACUCCUACGGGAGGCAGCAGUCGGGAAUUUUGGGCAAUGGGCGAAAGCCUGACCCAGCAACGCCGCGUGAAGGAUGAAGUAUUUCGGUAUGUAAACUUCGAAAGAAUGGGAAGAAUAAAUGACGGUACCAUUUAUAAGCUCCGGCUAACUAUGUGCCAGCCGCCGCAGUAACAC